AGUCGAGGGGUAUUUAUCUUCGGAUAGAGAGACCGGCGCACGGGUGCGUAACGCGUAUGCAAUCUACCUUUUACAGAGGGAUAGCCCAGAGAAAUUUGGAUUAAUACCUCAUAGUAUGUGAGAAUGGCAUCAUUUUCACAUUAAAGUCACAACGGUAAAAGAUGAGCAUGCGUCCCAUUAGCUAGUUGGUAAGGUAACGGCUUACCAAGGCUACGAUGGGUAGGGGUCCUGAGAGGGAGAUCCCCCACACUGGUACUGAGACACGGACCAGACUCCUACGGGAGGCAGCAGUGAGGAAUAUUGGACAAUGGGCGCAAGCCUGAUCCAGCCAUGCCGCGUGCAGGAUGACGGUCCUAUGGAUUGUAAACUGCUUUCGCACAGGAAGAAACAACGCUACGUGUAGCGUCUUGACGGUACUGUGAGAAUAAGGAUCGGCUAACUCCGUGCCAGCAGCCGCGGUAAUACGGAGGAUCCAAGCGUUAUCCGGAAUCAUCGGGUUUAAAGGGUCCGUAGGCGGUUUAGUAAGUCAGUGGUGAAAGCCCAUCGCUCAACGGUGGAACGGCCAUUGAUACUGCUAGACUUGAAUUAUUAGGAAGUAACUAGAAUAUGUAGUGUAGCGGUGAAAUGCUUAG
rnacentral:rRNA from 1 species